CCGGAACAACAGAUCAUAUAUGUUUGUAUUUGCAAUGUUAUUUCCGCUGACGUCAUUUUUCUGGUUCACGUGCAAGGGUUUUCUCAGAUAUCCACUGCUAAAUUACAAAUUAUGUGCAAGAGGAUAUCUAUAACUUCAGUUUUAGAUAUCUCCCACAUCAUUUUGACUCAUCAUCAUUCCACUAGGUGAUAUCUAUAACAUUUUUCCAAUUUAGCAGAGACAUCUGAAAAGGAACACGUCAUCUUCAGUUCAAGGGAAUUUAAGGCUGGCAACCAUUUCAGGGUGUACCCUGUUUCCUGUCCGAUGAUAGCUGGGAUAGGCUCCAGCACUCCUGCGACUCUUUUGAGGGCAAGUGACCAUCAAUCAAGACUCAAACAUAUCCUUUUUGUGAAUGUGUCACUGUUCCAGGAUACACCCUGACUAAUGCCUAUAGUCAGCUGAGAUAAUCUCCAGCACACCUGCAACCCAACCAUUAAGGUGAAUUGUAAUAGUUUCUGUGGCAUCACCAGUAAAGUAAACGAAACAACAUGGACGGUGGAAGAACAGUACUUCAAUAAUACAGUCUCUGCUGUAGACAAAGGUUUGCUAGCAACAGUAACUUCUAGAAUGCCAGACAUCAUCUCUGUAGCGAAGACAAACACCAACAAGACAAUCGGAAAUGGAGGACCCCAGUGUUUCAAUGGAGGUCCUGAUGAAGAGAAAAAAAAACAGAUUCCUCCACUCCAACUGAAGAUUUACUUGAUUCAGAGAUACAGACAAUUGUCCUCCUCUCAAUCGAUAAAAAAUUGUCGAGCUCACUUGAAAUGCUUUGCCAAUAAUUCAGGAAACUCAGGAAGUUUGGAAUUUACAGAACAGCAAGUGAGGGAGAUAAAAUUAGAUAACAUAGCACUUCAGUCAAAAAAGAUGUCAGGUUCUGCGCUAUUGAAAACUAUCAUAUUGGAAUAUAAACUUUUGAAAGAAACUAAACUGUAUAUUCAAUCAACAAGUAUGCAUGACAACCUCAACUUCUCCCGCAUCCCAAAAAAUGCUUCAGAAGACCCCGAAAUUGAGGUUAAAAAAAAAAAAAAAAGUUUAUGACGUCUGCACUUAAGAUACAGCAAGAAACAGUUGACAAAAUUACUUUUCACCAAGUCCAUCGAUAAGGAGGCCCUCAUUCAGGAAAUCGACCUAGUUACAUCGUAGGGUUAAAGUUUGAACAUUUAUCAGAAAGUGUUUGUAAUAUUCAAAGGUCAGGAUCGUAAAGGACUUCGUUUGGAAUGGUCAGUUCCCCAAGGAAAUCAACGGGAGGCGUAAAACAUAAUACCCACUGAUGAAAAAUUACAAGACAAAGGGAAACGACCAUGGUUGGUAGUUGACAGGCUAUAUGCCGACAGUCAACUAUUUCAAUACCAAUGUCACUCACUGGCUAUUCUAGAUAAGUACUUGCUUUGAUUUGUUGCUGUUACAAAUUGUCAGAAGUGUAUUCUGUUUCAUUCUUCUACUUCAAUUUAGAUAAAAAAAAAAAAGCAAUCACACAUGCCACCAGCAUAAACAUUCACUCCUAUCUUUGUUUUCCUGCUCUGCUUGGUUGCACUUGCACAAAAGACAAGUUGCCCAAAACAUUCCUUGUGCAACACAAUUCGCCAUCACCUGUCAUCAUAUUAUCCUUUAGUUCCCUUUUGUUUCCUAUGUUCAGUGUUUGUUUGUUAUUCUCUUGUGUA